ACGAACGCUGGCGGCAGGCCUAACACAUGCAAGUCGAGCGCACCCUUCGGGGUGAGCGGCGGACGGGUUAGUAACGCGUGGGAAUCUACCCAGCUCUACGGAAUAACUCAGGGAAACUUGUGCUAAUACCGUAUACGCCCUUCGGGGGAAAGAUUUAUCGGAGUUGGAUGAGCCCGCGUUGGAUUAGCUAGUUGGUGGGGUAAUGGCCUACCAAGGCGACGAUCCAUAGCUGGUCUGAGAGGAUGAUCAGCCACACUGGGACUGAGACACGGCCCAGACUCCUACGGGAGGCAGCAGUGGGGAAUAUUGGACAAUGGGCGCAAGCCUGAUCCAGCCAUGCCGCGUGAGUGAUGAAGGCCUUAGGGUUGUAAAGCUCUUUCGCUAGGGAAGAUAAUGACGGUACCUAGUAAAGAAGCCCCGGCUAACUUCGUGCCAGCAGCCGCGGUAAUACGAAGGGGGCUAACGUUGUUCGGAUUUACUGGGCGUAAAGCGCACGUAGGCGGAUUAGCAAGUUAGGGGUGAAAUCCCGGAGCUCAACUCCGGAACUGCCUUUAAAACUGCUAGUCUAGAGAUCGGGAGAGGUGUAUGGAACUCCUAGUGUAGAGGUGGAAUUCGUAGAUAUUAGGAAGAACACCAGUGGCGAAGGCGAUACACUGGCCCGAUACUGACGCUGAGGUGCGAAAGCGUGGGGAGCGAACAGGAUUAGAUACCCUGGUAGUCCACGCCGUAAACGAU
rnacentral:rRNA from 1 species